rnacentral:sRNA from 1 species
CGCGGGUGGAGACGACCCGCAGGAAGGAGAUGACCAGCCUCAGGGCCUUUGCCAUCUAUACCUCCAUCUCAAUUUUCAUGAACACGGCCAUCCCCAUUGCAGCUGUCCUCAUAUGCUGAGCGUUUCCAGUGUGGGAGGGACCCACACCCUGGGCCACCCUGGCCUCACUUGUGCCUCUGUCCACAGACCUUCGUGGGCCAUGUCAGCUUCUUCAAAGAGGCCGACUUCUCGCCCUCCGUGGCCUUUGCCUCCCUCUCCCUCUUCCAUAUCUUGGUCACACCGCUGUUCCUGCUGUCCAGUGUGGUCCGAUCUACCGUCAAAGCUCUAGUGAGGUGAGGGGAGGGUCCGGGCGAGGGCACUGGGCAGGCAGGUCCUGUGUCAGCCUCAGGGCUUGCUCGAGUGACAGCCAAACCACAGCCGUUUGGUCCCGGAACACACCCCCAUUGCUGGGCCUCGCUGUAGCUGGUCCUGGUUGGUCAGAGGGACAUUGGCCUGUAUGGUUUCCCAGCUCGCCAUCCCUGAGCAAAGACUUGCUUACAUACCUCCCAG